rnacentral:lncRNA from 1 species
GUUUGUGCUCCGCCCAGACUCGAACUGCUCAACUGGGAGAAAACGUCACUAUGAUCUGCGACAUCACUGAAAAGCACGAGGUGUCCUGGUAUCGUCUGAACUCUCGGUUAGAGGAGCUAACGCUGCUGAUCCACGGCGAGAAAACCAGAACCAGGAAAAGCCUUCCGUUCUCCUACAAUACAGACGAAAAGCGCUUCAUCCUGACGGCGAACAGCGAGAUUACCGAGGCCAGACUUACAGUCCGAGAGGUUCAGCCGGAUGAUCUGGGCUUUUAUUUCUGUGGGACUAAAGCCGAUUUCUCUCAGAUGUAUUUCGCCAGGCCGAUCAGACUGCAGCUGGAAGAUCCUCCUGCACCCUCUUUAGAUUUGUCUUCCACUCAGAGUCGGACUGUUCAACUGGAAGAAAACGUCACUAUGAGCUGCAACAUCACUGAAAAGCAAGAGGUGUCCUGGUAUCGUCUGAACUCUCGGUUAGAGGAGCUAACGCUGCUGAUCCAUGGCGAGAAAACCAGAACCAGGAAGAGCCUUCCGUUCUCCUACAAUACAGACGAAAAGCGCUUCAUCCUGACGGCGAACAGCGAGAUUACCGAGGCCAGACUUACAGUCCGAGAGGUUCAGCCGGAUGAUCUGGGCUUUUAUUUCUGUGGGACAAAAGCUGAUUUCUCUCAGAUGUAUUUCACCAGGCCGAUCAGACUGCAGCUGGAAGGCAGCACACAGCGGAGGGUCCCAGCUGCGGAGAACGCUCGGCCGCGGUAGCGGAGGGUCCCGGCCGCGGAGAACGUGCGGACGCGACAACAGAGGGUCCCGGCUGCGGAGAGCGCUCGGCCGCAGCAGUGGAGGGACACGGCCGCGGCAGCGGAGGGUCUCAACAGCGGUGAGCCAAUACUUUCCAAAAUAAUUCCCUAAAUUUAAAAAUAUAUAUAUUUCCAUAAUUUGAAAAUCUCUCGCAAUCGCCACCAUCUUGUUUUUUCCUGAAGCGAGCUGGAGAAGCCAGUCGCAAUGCAUGUUGGGAUGCAGUACAUCAUGAAGAUAGCUCUCCAUGCACACUGCGAAAUCGGAGCGGAGUAGUACACCAUCCGGGUACCUGUAGUGCACUACAGAUCCUCAGUUUGUGCUCAUACUGCGUACUGCAUACUAGCUUUAGGCAGAUUUAGUACGAGAGUAGUAUGUAGUAUGCCAUUCCGAAUACAGCCACAGUCUUCACCCUUACAAGUCCAUGCAACAUUGGCGUCUUCAGCAGGAUAAGGCAUGUCUUAC